UCCGAGAUAAAAGUGUAAUAAACAUUUUAUAAUUUAAUCCUAGUGAUAUUUUUAUGUGUGUUUUAAUUGUAAAAAACAUGUAAAAUCACCUGAAUAUCGAAAUUGCUAGUUGGUUAGCACAAACCUUGUCAGACAGCGCCACCAGUCUUUCUGUCAGCUUCCUCAGCCUGCCUCUUGUAGGCCUUCACUUUCAGUUGCAGUUUGUCCACCAGAUCCUGCAGUCUAUUCACGUUCUUCUUGUCCUCUUCAGUCUGCAUACACAGGUUUCACAUAAGAAAAUUAUCUCAAAGUACCUCUGCUUGAAGUCACCAUAGAGGAUCCUGCUGGGGAAUCCCUUCCUGCAGAUUCUGAUACCCUCCAGCACACCGUUACACCUCAGCUGGUGGAUGACCAGGAAGUUCUCCAUCAGACCUAAACAAGCAUAGAUAAAUUAUGAAAUUGUGAUGAUGAAAAUAAAAUUGUUUAAGUUAAA